rnacentral:rRNA from 1 species
UACGUAGGGUGCAAGCGUUGUCCGGAAUUAUUGGGCGUAAAGGGCUCGUAGGCGGUCCAUCACGUCGGGAGUGAAAAGCUGGGGCUUAACCCCAGUCCUGCUUCCGAUACGGGUGGACUAGAGGUAGGUAGGGGAGAACGGAAUUCCUGGUGUAGCGGUGAAAUGCGCAGAUAUCAGGAGGAACACCGGUGGCGAAGGCGGUUCUCUGGGCCUUACCUGACGCUGGAGGAGCGAAAGCGUGGGGAGCAAACAGG